rnacentral:lncRNA from 1 species
ACCUAUGCAAACUCAUAAGUCGAAUAUAAACUGAUUAUUCCAUGGCUAAAAAGGAAAACAACAAACAGACAGACAGACAACAGCGCUUAAAAAUACAAUAUAAGACUGAAUGGUAAGCAUAUCCUGCUCUACGUGUGGCACCCGUCGUGCUGCUCAUGUUAGUAAAAAUCCCGUGAUUUGUCUAAUUCGCUCAGUCACACUAUUGGAAAAAGAAACAACAUUGUAGUUUCGAUAAUUGUAACAAAUCCGUUGUUAUCUGUGAAACAGAUAUUCCAUAAAGUUCAACCAUCUCGUGAUUGCGUCCGUAAAUUUUACAAAAGGGGCGAGUUCCACUUCAAUUAAAACCAUUGGUUUAAAAUCUUCCUUGUGUACAGCGAUCCUCUACAAUGAAAUCAAGAUAUAGGAAAUUCGGUUCCUUGAAUAUCGUAUCAACUGAUGGAUAUAUACUCAGUAUAAAGGCGC